GGGCCCGCACAAGCAGUGGAGUAUGUGGUUUAAUUCGAAGCAACGCGAAGAACCUUACCAGGGCUUGACAUACCAUUGACGUAUCUAGAGAUAGAUAUUUCCUUCGGGACAAUGGAUACAGGUGGUGCAUGGUUGUCGUCAGCUCGUGUCGUGAGAUGUUGGGUUAAGUCCCGCAACGAGCGCAACCCCUGUUGUUAGUUGCCAUCAUUAAGUUGGGCACUCUAGCGAGACUGCCGGUGAUAAAUCGGAGGAAGGUGGGGACGACGUCAAAUCAUCAUGCCCCUUAUGUCCUGGGCUACACACGUACUACAAUGGCUAUUACAGCAGGAAGCGAAACCGUAAGGUGGAGCAAAACCUCAAAAAUAGCCCCAGUUCAGAUUGUGGGCUGAAACUCGCCCACAUGAAGUCGGAAUUGCUAGUAAUGGCAGGUCAGCAUACUGCCGUGAAUACGUUCCCGGGCCUU
rnacentral:rRNA from 1 species